CGAAAAUUUUUAUUCAAUGACAGUAAUAAAUGACAUUCAAUGACAAACAUAUGUACAUACAUACAUAUAUUGACGUCUAUUGUCUCCAAAGUAAUAUGUAAUUCUAAAUAUGCGACCUCAAAGCAUCAAAGUUCAAAGAAACUAAAGUAUCCUGCACAAUAACUUAAACUACGGUUAUAAAAAAAACUUCUAAGCAGCAAGUGCGGAAAUGGGUCAAACCGAAUGAAAGUUAAAAGGGAGGGAGUAAAUAACUGUCAUUGUUGAAAUCGAUUAAAAGCUACAGCCCCACACACGACGGCUGCGGUUUAACUGUGGUACCCGAGACUGAAUCAUUUAAUGUCCCAUUGAAUUUGAGAGUAUGUAACAUAAUGAUUGGAAACAAGGCGACGCUGUGUAGGCGGGUCUACUACCUUUGGGAAAAACGCGCCAAAAACCCGCAGUACAUACUAUCAUUGGCGAAGCACGGGGAGAAUAACUAAACAUAUAUGUAUGUGUAGGGGCAUGUACAUAUAUAUUAAUAAGUGGUUGAGUAUUUGCUGCUAUAAGAAAUUGAAGCUAAAGCCUAAAAGUUUUGAUGGUUCGGGAGUCGGCUUAUAGCCAUCCCGGAACGAAACCUAGACAUGAAUGGUGAAGAGAUUUCUUAGGGGAAGAGUUUACUACCUCAAUAUAUAUCGAGGGGUCCAAAAUGGACUGCGGUGUAGCGACUUCAAGGAACUUCUCUUUAACUUAUCGUCUACCAAAUUCAGCUAGCAUCUUUCAAGCGCAAGUACUAGGCAUAAAGAAGGGCUGUGAAGUUCUGCCGAACAACUACGGGCGUAUACAGAAAUGGACCAUUUACACUGAAAGCCAGGCGGCACUACUAGGAUUGUUAUCACCAAAGAUCAAUUCCAGCGUACAAAACAAAUGUAAGAAAGCUUUAAGCUAUCGAGAAGCGAUGAUUCAGAGCAGUGUUUAGAGAUGUAAAUCCGAGUUGUUGCGUCGAUAUGUGCCAAUGGAUGCAAUAUGGAUCCAUCGUUUCACUCAGAAGUUCAAUCGACAGUCAUACGAGUGGACUGCACGAUGGACCGUAUCACAAGUCAGUGAAAACGAUGGCAAAAAUCCUUGAAUUGGGCUUCAAAUUGCUUCCGCAUCCACCGUAUUCUCUAGAUCUAGCCCCAGCGACUUUUUCCUGUUUUCAGAUCUCAAAAGAAUGUUCGCUGAGAAGAAAUUUUCGUGGAAUGAAGAGGUGUUCGCCGAACUGAGGCUUAUAGUAAUACUUUGUGCAGCAUGUUGCACGGAUAGAAAAAUCACAAAACUUUCUUAACAUUGUA